rnacentral:rRNA from 1 species
AUUGAACGCUGGCGGCAUGCCUUACACAUGCAAGUCGAACGGUAACAGGCCGCAAGGUGCUGACGAGUGGCGAACGGGUGAGUAAUGCAUCGGAACGUGCCCAGUCGUGGGGGAUAACUGCUCGAAAGAGCAGCUAAUACCGCAUACGACCUGAGGGUGAAAGCGGGGGACCGUAAGGCCUCGCGCGAUUGGAGCGGCCGAUGUCAGAUUAGCUAGUUGGUGGGGUAAAGGCCUACCAAGGCAACGAUCUGUAGUUGGUCUGAGAGGACGACCAGCCACACUGGGACUGAGACACGGCCCAGACUCCUACGGGAGGCAGCAGUGGGGAAUUUUGGACAAUGGGCGCAAGCCUGAUCCAGCAAUGCCGCGUGCAGGAAGAAGGCCUUCGGGUUGUAAACUGCUUUUGUCAGGGAAGAAAUCCUCUGGGUUAAUACCUCGGGGGGAUGACGGUACCUGAAGAAUAAGCACCGGCUAACUACGUGCCAGCCGCCGCAGUAAGAC